GUGGGGAAUAUUGGACAAUGGGCGCAAGCCUGAUCCAGCCAUGCCGCGUGAGUGAUGAAGGCCUUAGGGUUGUAAAGCUCUUUCAGUGGGGACGAUAAUGACGGUACCCACAGAAGAAGCCCCGGCUAACUUCGUGCCAGCAGCCGCGGUAAUACGAAGGGGGCUAGCGUUGUUCGGAUUUACUGGGCGUAAAGCGCACGUAGGCGGAUCGUUAAGUCGGGGGUGAAAUCCUGGAGCUCAACUCCAGAACUGCCUUCGAUACUGGCGAUCUUGAGUCCGGAAGAGGUGGGUGGAACUCCUAGUGUAGAGGUGGAAUUCGUAGAUAGUAGGAAGAACACCAGUGGCGAAGGCGGCUCACUGGUCCAGUACUGACGCUGAGGUGCGAAAGCGUGGGGAGCAAACAGGAUUAGAAACCCGGGUAGUCC
rnacentral:rRNA from 1 species